rnacentral:rRNA from 1 species
UACGUAGGGUGCGAGCGUUAAUCGGAAUUACUGGGCGUAAAGCGUGCGCAGGCGGUUUUGUAAGCCAGAUGUGAAAGCCCCGGGCUCAACCUGGGAAUGGCAAUGGAAACUGGCGGGCUGGAGUAUGGCAGAGGGGGGUGGAAUUCCGCGUGUAGCAGUGAAAUGCGUAGAGAUGCGGAGGAACACCGAUGGCGAAGGCAGCCCCCUGGGCCAAUACUGACGCUCAGGCACGAAAGCGUGGGGAGCAAACAGG